GAUUGUGGCUCAGCGGUAGAGUGCUUGCCCAACACCUAUGAGGCCCUGGGUUCAAUCCUCAGCACCA
rnacentral:tRNA from 1 species